UACGGGGGGGGCAAGCGUUGUUCGGAAUUACUGGGCGUAAAGGGCCAGUAGGCGGCCAACUAAGUCCGACGUGAAAUCCCCAGGCUUAACUUGGGAACUGCGUCGGAUACUGGAUGGCUUGAAUUCGGGAGAGGGAUGCAGAAUUCCAGGUGUAGCGGUGAAAUGCGUAGAUAUCUGGAGGAAUACCGGUGGCGAAGGCGGCAUCCUGGACCGACAUUGACGCUGAACGGCGAAAGCUAGGGGAGCAAACGGG
rnacentral:rRNA from 1 species